CCUACGGGAGGCAGCAGUGAGGAAUAUUGGUCAAUGGGCGCGAGCCUGAACCAGCCACGUAGCGUGAAGGAUGACUGCCCUCGGGGUUGUAAACUCUUUUUAUAAAGGAAUAAAGUGAGGCACGUGUGCCUUUUUGUCUGUACUUUAUGUAUUAGGAUCGGCUAACUCCGUGCCAGCCGCCCCGGGAAUACGGAGGAUACGAGCGUUAUCCGGAUUGAUUGGGUUUAAAGGGAGCGUAGAUGGGUUGUUAAGUCAGUUGUGAAAGUUUGCGGCUCAACCGUAAAAUUGCAAUUGAUACUGGCAGCCUUGAGUACAGUUGAGGUAGGCGGAAUUCGAGGUGUAGCGGUGAAAUGCUUAGAGAUCAGGAAGAACUCCGAUUGCGAAGGCAGCUUACUAGACUGCCACUGACAUUGAUGCGCGAAAGUGUGGGGAUCAAACAGGAUUAGAUACCCCUGUAGUC
rnacentral:rRNA from 1 species